rnacentral:rRNA from 1 species
GAUGAACGCUGGCGGCGUGCCUAACACAUGCAAGUCGAACGAACAGACCAGGAGCUUUGUCGUCUGACGUUAGCGGGCGACGGGAGAGUAACACGUGGUUAACCUACCUAUAAGACUGGGAUAAUUUCGGGAAACCAGAGCUAAUACCGAAUAAUAUAUUGAACCUCAUGGUUCAAUAGUUGAAGAAGGUUUUUGGGACACUUAUAGAUGGAUCAGGGCCUCAUUAGUUUGUUGGUAAGGUAACGGAUUACCAAGGCUACGAUGCGUAGACGCCCUGAGAGGGUGAUCCGCCAGACGGGAACUGAGACUCGGCACAGACUCCUACGGUAGGCAGCAGUCGGGAAUCUUCCGCAAGGGGCGAGAGCCUGAUGUAGCAACGCCGGCUGAGUGCUGAUGCUCUUCGGCUCGUAAAGCUCUGUUGUUCGGAAAGAACAAAUGCUUAAGUACCUAUGAUGGUAUUGACGGUACCGAGACAAUAAGCUCCGGCUAACUACGUG